rnacentral:rRNA from 1 species
UACGUAGGGCGCAAGCGUUAUCCGGAAUUAUUGGGCGUAAAGAGCUCGUAGGCGGUUUGUCGCGUCUGCCGUGAAAGUCCGAGGCUCAACCUCGGACUUGCAGUGGGUACGGGCAGACUAGAGUGUGGUAGGGGGAGACUGGAAUUCCUGGUGUAGCGGUGGAAUGCGCAGAUAUCAGGAGGAACACCGAUGGCGAAGGCAGGUCUCUGGGCCAUUACUGACACUGAGAAGCGAAAGCAUGGGGAGCGAACAGG